rnacentral:lncRNA from 1 species
AAAAAAACAACAGUUUUACCCCUUAUGUUUUUAAGAUAAGAAAACCGGUGUUGUCCGUUAAGUUUGAAUUGAUAGAAAAUGACAGUUAGUCAUUUUCCCUUUGUCUCAUGUUUUUUUCAUUAAGCCCGAUAAAAAAGAAGACAGCGUUACCCCUUAUGUUUAAAAAAAAACAAACACCACUCUUGCCCCAUCAUUGGUUCGACCCGUGGUUAAAUUCAUCAGACUUAUCCGUUUCACCGGUUCAUCAGGGCCCAUGAGAUUGGUCUCGAUAAUGUUGUGUCCUUUCCUGUUUCUACGGUUGUUGAAUUCGGCGGAACGGCUUUACAUCUGAAUAGUAAUAUGAGAAAAGAAGGUCAGGUUAUGCAAAGGACUACAAAGACGAGCAUCAAAACAGUCAGCACUAUAACAACGCGUGUGAAUGUUGUCACCAAUUACAUUUUUCCAUCACAGUAUGCUUGGUACCUUGCCAAGGAGGCACCGUUUGACUUGACUGUUGUAAGUAGCCAUUACAUUAAAUGAAAAAAGAGCUGACGAUUGAAAAGAUACGUUUAAAAUAAGAAUUGGAUUUUUCAAUUCUUUUUUCGAUAUUGUAACAAUAUCGAAAAAUGCAUACUUGUAUGCAUAUUUUAUCAUUGUCAAUUCUUGGAAUAUCCCCUUACUUUAGAAAGACAUGCCUGUCCUCAGAAAAUGGUGGUGCACAGUACUGCUUGAGAACUUCCAUCUGGAUCGGCACGGCAGAAGGUUCCCACACUUCAUGGAGGAGGCCAAACAAAUGGCGGCUGGACUACUUCCACCAGUCUUCAGACUGAGGCGAAAAAGAGAAUGAUUUGGAGCUGAUGGCAGUUCAUGAAGAAGCUAUAUCUUUAGGAUUCUGUAGAUUAUUUGUUAAAUAAAUUGUGAGGAAACUUUGGUGUGGUUAUUCUUCAAUGUAUAUUUAUAUCAAAUUAUGAUGAUAUACUUUACAAAAAAAAAUUUUUUGAUUCUAUUAGACAUAUUAAAAAAAAAAUACUUAAUUCUAAUGGUCAAUUACUUAAUGAGUAAAGUGUAUAAUACACAAUUCCAUAAAAUAAUUGUCUACACCCUAAAUCAGUUUAUUCGUCUAAAUAACGUUAACAAAAUUAAGUUAUAAAAAAAGCUUACUGACAUGUCAUAAUAUUGUUUUAUUCUAAUUUUUUGGUCUAAUAAGAAAAAAUCCUGAGGUAUUUGUCUAAAUAACGUUAAACCUUUUUUAAGCUCUAAAAUGGUUACUAACGUGUCGAAAUAUUUUUUUAUUUCUAUGUUUUGUUAAUUCAAGCGAUAAAUAAGUUUAUUUGUCUAUAGAAAAAAUAAUCGGAGGUAACUUCCGUCCAGCCACAGUACUUCUGUCCCGCCUGGGUGGUGUUCUGUCAUGCCAGGGUGUUCUCCGGGGCUGCAGCUGGAUACUAUUGGAUUUCUGUGGCAAGGAAGGCGAAAUCAUAGGAGUUGAACUUCGGUUGAGAUCUUUGAACAGAAAACUAUUCAAAAAAUGAAUAUGCAUAGAUAAAACGAGUAUAGCAACGUUAGACUUGCCUGCAAAUAAAAAUAUAUGCUGCAACUCAAUACUUGCGUUUAAAGUUCUCGUCGGACUGUAAACAAUGACACGCCGACGGAUGAGGAAUUCUAGCCCCGGAUAUCCGGCACUACCGGUGCCCCGGAUAUAUCGUCCCCAUAGGUAGGUCGUUGUCAUAGCAUACGUUUCGAGAUUGGUGUUCCAUGAAAUACUAUUUAUGCAAUUAAAUGAACCAAACAGCAAGUUAAGAUUUUGACUUCGUUAAUGGAAUAAUGUUACAACUUAAAAGACAUUCCCACACACGCUUUGUUUCACAGUCAGUCAACGCCUGCCCUCUGAUGGACAAAACGAGAACUGCGGGCAGUAUAUUUUUUGUGGCCAGAUUACAUACGAGGAGAACUUCGGUUAAGCUCUAAAAACAUAUGACUACACAUUAAAGCCGAAAAUACAACAGCAACGCCGCUGUUUUUAAAGUAUUGAUUUUAUUCAUAUAAUAAAGUUAUAAAUUAAAAACAUUCCCGAACGCCAAUAAUCACAGUCAGUCAACCCCUGCCGUCUGGUGGACAAAACAUGAACUGCACGCAGUCUAUAUAUAUUUUUUGUGGCCAGGAACGCAAAUAGAUUCGAGGUGAAUUUCGGCUGGGCUCUAUAAGCAGAAAACUGUAUUCAAACGCAUAUGUAUAAAUAAAACUAGCAUAGCAACGUUACACUUGUCUGAAAAUAAAAUGCUCAAACUCUUAAAAAUAUUCCCACAAACUUCAAUAUUCAGUCGAAAUGAAACUGUAUGCAGUAUAUUUUUGGUGGCGAGGAAGGCGAAUUCAUACGAGUUGAACUUCGGUUGAGAUCUUUGAACAGAAAACUAUUCAAAAAAAAAUAUGCAUAGAUAAAACGAGUAUAGCAACGUUAGACUUGCCUGCAAAUAAAAAUAUAUGCUGCAACUCAAUACUUGCGUUUAAAGUUGCUCGUCGGACUGUAAACAAUUACACGCCGACGGAUGAGGAAUUCUAGCCCCGGAUAUCCGGCACUACCGGUGCCCCGGAUAUAACGUCCCCAUAGGUAGGUCGUUGUCAUCUAUGGCGCUGACGAGACGCGGAGCCGCCAUCUUGGAGUGGUCAUCCGCUCCACUCAGUGUAAUCCGUUUGGCUGGAGCAAUGAACUGUCAAGCGCAUUUAAUUAAUCAUACCUCACUGAAUACCACUGAUUUUCAUGCGGUUUUUUGUCAUACGUGUAGCUAUGAUAAAGGCCACAUGGUUUGGCGUGUUUUAUUAUUCAA